rnacentral:lncRNA from 1 species
AGCGCCAGAAAUGCGCGCAAGCGCACACGGGCAGCUCCGUAAGCUUCAGGCCCACGCCGCGCAGGCGCGCUCCUGUUCGCUCGGCUGCGUGGGAGCGGAAUCCGGGAGCCCAGCCUGGACUUGAGGCAGGUCGGGAAGAUGCUGGGCACCAGCACUGCCUGCAGGGACAGAAGAAAAACUCUCUGAAGGAUUGUGCGGCAGUGGCUCGGCCCCGCGAGGUCACACACUCACUGAUUUGUGAGCAAAACGGAGACCAGUGUCUACUUUACGGUAACGACCCUCCCAGCAGGCCGCACCUUGACCUUCUGGACGUGGUGUCCCACAGUUUCGUUCACAAGGCAUUGGUGGAGCGCCGUGCCACUCUGGCAGCCAAGGAGCAUAAGCCACGGCUCAAGGCCCAGAGGUAGGACCAGCGGGACCAAACUGCAGGGUGCAAGGGGCAGCAGCGAGAGGCCCAGAAGAGGAAGAGCCUGGUGGACAUGAAGAGGGCACGGGCAGAGGCGAGGCCAACAGGGACAGUGAUGCUGAGGACCCUCGACUAACUGCGAACCGAAUUCCUGAAAAUGUAAUCAUCACUUCUUAAAAGCUGAUGUGGGCUGUUUGUAUCGCACAAGCAUUAUGGGAGACAACCAUUUUAUUGUGCAAAAGGAUGUUAUUUGGAAAUUCAGAAAGGACACAGAUGAAUUCAUGGAGGACAUCGUCUUGGAAGGGAGCUAUUGAUGGAAGAUGCAUCUCUUGUGUAGGCAGGUAUGGUGGCGGAGACAUCCUAGUUCUGGAGUCGGUAACAGAAGUCCACUCAUUAAAUGGGCCCCACAGAACUUGUGAGUUUUCUCUGCAAGCUCCGCCUUUCCAGUGAUUCUGUGAGCCUUGUAAUAUCCUUUAACACAUCCCUUCCUGCUACUGUAGAUAGAAU